rnacentral:rRNA from 1 species
GACGAACGCUGGCGGCGUGCUUAACACAUGCAAGUCGAACGGAAAGGCCCUGCUUUUGUGGGGUGCUCGAGUGGCGAACGGGUGAGUAACACGUGAGUAACCUGCCCUUGACUUUGGGAUAACUUCAGGAAACUGGGGCUAAUACCGGAUAGGAGCUCCUGCUGCAUGGUGGGGGUUGGAAAGUUUCGGCGGUUGGGGAUGGACUCGCGGCUUAUCAGCCUGUUGGUGGGGUAGUGGCUUACCAAGGCUUUGACGGGUAGCCGGCCUGAGAGGGUGACCGGCCACAUGGGGACUGAGAUACGGCCCAGACGCCUACGGGAGGCAGCAGUGGGGAAUAUUGCAGAAUGGGCGGAAGCCUGAUGCAGCAACGCCGCGUGCGGGAUAACGGCCUUCGGGUUGUAAACCGCUUUCGCCGUUGACGAAGCGUGAGUGACGGUAAUGGGUAAAGAAGCACCGGCUAACUACGUG